rnacentral:lncRNA from 1 species
AGAAGCCAACGUGCACCACUGGGAGAGGGAGUCUGGACCCAGUUUUAAAAGCAAUACAACACUAGACAGAAAGGAGAGUAAGGCUUGGAAAUGGAGGAAGAAGCAGAACAGGACAAAAAUGUAUGGAAAAGAAGUGUUUGGGCCGGAAGAGACAGAACUGCAGCUGGUGAUGAAGCAUUUGCCCUACGUGUACCUUGAGUACUAAUGCAAGUCUU